UUUCUUUGGCCAUUCGGAAAUUCCAUGGAAGUCAGCGGGAUUUCUGGCUGCCGAGGAAUGUGGGCUCGGCGCCUUCACAUCACAAGACUCUGCGGAGUCAUCAGCGAUGACUGUUGCUUUACUGAGGUUUGAUCACUGCGAGAUGUGACCGUGAUGUGACCAUGAUCACUCCAGUGUUGAGUGCAGCAAAUAGCUGCCCAUGUCAUGGAGGGGUUCGAGUAGAAGGUAAUCCUUCAGCUAUUGUUAUUUAGAGAGGAACUGGAAUCACACUUGCUUGCAAACAGAUGAGAAGGCAGGUCACUUUCCUGAAGGUAGAGCCUGUAUAGAACACGUACAGAGGAGAGAGAUGUCAGGAGUGAAUUGACAAAAAAGGCUUUCUGCAUAUCCUGCUGCUCUGCCUAGGAGGUAAAGAGGAAUAAUCUUCUUGCAAACCACAGGAAGCAGGUGAUAGUUUUUUGCUACCAGAAAGAUCUGAAAACUUUGUGAAAAUGGUACUGUUUAAUACUUUUCUGUGACAAAGUUUAGCUUCUACAUGUGUGUGUUGGUUGAAUAAAACAUUUUCCUAUUAAAGUGAUAUGCUUCAGAAGGAUUUUGCAACUAUGAGAAUGUAAGAAGUGUACAUUUUGCCACUGAAUUCAUUAGCAACACAUAUCACAGUUCUAGCUGGGUGCUGCAUAUCACAAAAUACAGAGAGGCACACAGACUGUUCGAAGGCUGUUUGUUUCUAAGAUGCAGACAUUUAAAAGAGAUGUAAAGGGCAUAUUAUUAUGCAGACUUUCAAGCAUAUUAAUCUGCUUGGAGAAAUAUGCUACAGAUGUAUCGCUGGCAAAGUAUGAAGAGGCUACAGGCAUGCC
ensembl:lncRNA